AUUAAACGCUGGCGGCACGCCUUACACAUGCAAGUCGAACGGCAGCACGGGAGCUUGCUCCUGGUGGCGAGUGGCGAACGGGUGAGUAAUACAUCGGAACGUACCUAGGAGUGGGGGAUAACGUAGCGAAAGUUACACUAAUACCGCAUAUUCUGUGAGCAGGAAAGCGGGGGAUCGCAAGACCUCGCGCUCUUGGAGCGGCCGAUGUCGGAUUAGCUAGUUGGUGAGGUAAAAGCUCACCAAGGCGACGAUCCGUAGCAGGUCUGAGAGGAUGAUCUGCCACACUGGGACUGAGACACGGCCCAGACUCCUACGGGAGGCAGCAGUGGGGAAUUUUGGACAAUGGGGGCAACCCUGAUCCAGCCAUGCCGCGUGAGUGAAGAAGGCCUUCGGGUUGUAAAGCUCUUUCGGCGGGGAAGAAAUGGCAACGGCUAAUAUCCGUUGUUGAUGACGGUACCCGCAUAAGAAGCACCGGCUAACUACGUGCCAGCCGCCGCAGUAA
rnacentral:rRNA from 1 species